GACGAACGCUGGCGGCGUGCUUAACACAUGCAAGUCGAACGGAAAGGCCUCCUUGUUGGGUACCCGAGUGGCGAACGGGUCGUUAACACGCUAGUUUCCUACCCUUGAUUUUGUGAUAACUUCUUGAUACACGGGCUAUUACCGCAUAGGAUCUCCUGUUGCAUGUUGGGGGUCGUUGUGAUUCGGCGUCUGGGGAUGGUCUGGCGGCGUAUGAGCUUGUUGGUGGGGAAGUGGCUCACCAAGGCCUUGUCGGAUAGGCUGCCCGGGCGGGUGGCCGGCCACAUAGGGUCUGAGAGAGGGACCAGACUGCUACGGUAGGCAGCAGGGGGGAAUAUAGCACAAUGGGCGGAAGACAGAUGCAGCAACGCCUCGUGCGUGAGGACGGCCUGCGGGUUGGAAACCACUGUCGCCUGUGACGUAGAGUGAGUGACGGUAAUGGGUAAAGAAGCACCGGCUAACUACGUG
rnacentral:rRNA from 1 species